GGCGCUGUGCCCCAACUGGCAGAGGGGGCGGUCUGAGGGACCGUCGGUUGCAGGUUCGAUUCCUGUCAGCGCUA
rnacentral:tRNA from 1 species